UACGGGGGGGGCAAGCGUUAUUCGGAAUUACUGGGCGUAAAGGGCUCGUAGGUGGCCAACUAAGUCAGACGUGAAAUCCCUCGGCUUAACCGGGGAACUGCGUCUGAUACUGGAUGGCUUGAGUUCGGGAGAGGGAUGCGGAAUUCCAGGUGUAGCGGUGAAAUGCGUAGAUAUCUGGAGGAACACCGGUGGCGAAGGCGGCAUCCUGGACCGACACUGACACUGAGGAGCGAAAGCCAGGGGAGCAAACGGG
rnacentral:rRNA from 1 species